UUGCCUCUCGGGUGACGAGUGGCGGACGGGCGAGAAAUAGUCUGGGAAACUGCCUGAUGGAGGGGGAUAACUACUGGAAACGGUAGCUAAUACCGCAUAACGUCGCAAGACCAAAGAGGGGGACCUUCGGGCCUCUUGCCAUCAGAUGUGCCCAGAUGGGAUUAGCUAGUAGGUGGGGUAACGGCUCACCUAGGCGACGAUCCCUAGCUGGUCUGAGAGGAUGACCAGCCACACUGGAACUGAGACACGGUCCAGACUCCUACGGGAGGCAGCAGUGGGGAAUAUUGCACAAUGGGCGCAAGCCUGAUGCAGCCAUGCCGCGUGUAUGAAGAAGGCCUUCGGGUUGUAAAGUACUUUCAGCGGGGAGGAAGGUGUUGUGGUUAAUACCCCGCAUCAAUUGACUUUUCCUUCAGAAAAAGCACCGGCU
rnacentral:rRNA from 1 species